GCAGCAGGCGCGAAAACUUUACAAUGCUGGCAACAGCGAUAAGGGAACCUCGAGUGCCAGGUUACAAAUCUGGCUGUCGAGAUGCCUAAAAAGCAUUUCAUAGCAAGGGCCGGGCAAGACCG
rnacentral:rRNA from 1 species